UUGGGAGUUCGGAAGCACCUUA
rnacentral:snRNA from 1 species